UACGGAGGAUCCAAGCGUUAUCCGGAAUUACUGGGCGUAAAGAGUUGCGUAGGUGGCAUGUAAAGCAGGUAGUGAAAGAUCACGGCUCAACCGUGGGCGCAUUACCUGAACUCACAAGCUUGAGCACGAGAGAGGUACCUGGAAUUCCCAGUGUAGGAGUGAAAUCCGUAGAUAUUGGGAGGAACACCGAUGGCGUAGGCAGGGUACUGGCUCGUUGCUGACACUAAGGCACGAAAGCGUGGGGAGCGAACGGG
rnacentral:rRNA from 1 species